CAAACACUCAUAUUUCGGCCCAUGAGGCCCAUUAAACUUAAUAUAUAAGCCACCACUUUUCCCUAUAUCACUUCACACGACUUAAACAGAUCCAAGAACCCUUAUUUUCUCUCCCAAACCCCCUUUCUAAUUGAGCCAUCAUAUAAGCUAAAUCCUAGACCCUUGACAUGAUAUUAGUUAAAGAGAAGUUGUAGCCUAAGUUUUCCUUGUGUUGUAAGCAAGAAGCUGGAAAGAGGAACAAGAUUCUUGAAGAUUCUGAUUGUUAAAGGAUAAGUGUUUUUGGGCAGCAAGUACAAGUUAUAAUACGACUAAACGCUAAAGGUACAGACGUUCAUUUCGGAGAUCCGCCAGCUUAGGACACUUAUUCAGCUAUUUUGACUGCUCCUUUGUUCCGGAGCCUAGCUUGUGGUAUAACUCCCUUAUGUUGAAUUCAUAUGAGUUUAUUU